rnacentral:rRNA from 1 species
UAGGGAAUCUUGCGCAAUGGGCGAAAGCCUGACGCAGCAACGCCGCGUGGGGGAUGAAGGCCCUCGGGUUGUAAACCCCUUUCAGCAGGAACGAAUCUGACGGUACCUGCAGAAGAAGGCCCGGCUAACUACGUGCCAGCAGCCGCGGUAACACGUAGGGGCCAAGCGUUGUCCGGAUUCAUUGGGCGUAAAGAGCUCGUAGGCGGUUCAGUUAGUCGGGUGUGAAAUCUCCGGGCUCAACUCGGAGGGGCCACCCGAUACUGCUGUGACUCGAGUCCGGUAGGGGAGUGGGGAAUUCCUGGUGUAGCGGUGAAAUGCGCAGAUAUCAGGAGGAACACCGGUGGCGAAGGCGCCACUCUGGGCCGGUACUGACGCUGAGGAGCGAAAGCGUGGUGAGCAAACAGG